rnacentral:misc_RNA from 1 species
AAGUCGUAACAAGGUUUCCGUAGGUGAACCUGCGGAAGGAUCAUUACCGAGAUUUAUUUUUUGUACUUUUUAGUAUGAGAAUCUCCCACCCUUUGUGUUGCCUAAUUAUUAUUACUUUGGCGAAGCGUUUUUUUGGGUGUUUGUUGUUAUAGAAAGUGUCAAAACUGGAAAGCAACAGACAAAACAAAAAAACCAUUGACUCUUUCUUAGUGAGAGUGGAUGAGCCUUUGCCAAAGGAAACAAAUUAACUCUUUUAUUAUUUAAUAUUGUCUGAGUUUAUAUUUUAAAUAAACAAAACUUUCAACAACGGAUCUCUUGGUUCUG